rnacentral:rRNA from 1 species
CGAGUUCUGGGUUUUCGUCUCAACGAGCCCGACCUCCAAACCUAUGUUUACCUUACCUAUUGUUGCUUCGGCGAGCCCGCCUGAAAAGGCCGCCGGAGGAGGAUUCACGUCUUCUUCUGGUCAGUUGCUCGCCGGUAGCCCCCUUUAAAAUUCUUGUUAAAUUGUGUCUUGUCUGAAUUCAAAAACAAAUUAAAUUAAAACUUUCAACAACGGAUCUCUUGGUUCUGGCAUCGAUGAAGAACGCAGCGAAAUGCGAUAAGUAAUGCGAAUUGCAGAAUCCGUGAGUCAUCGAAUCUUUGAACGCAUAUUGCGCCCAUUGGUAUUCCGAUGGGCAUGCCUGUUCGAGCGUCAUUAUCACCCCUCAAACUCUGGUUUGGUGUUGGACUCGGUCUUUGGUAACAAGGACCGGUCCCAAAGAUAAUGACGGCGUCUGUGUGGACUCCAGUACACUGAGCUUUCCUUUUAAGCACGUAUUGGUUCAGGACUCCAGGCCCGGUCUCUUCUUUUUUACUUCUAAGAGUUGACCUCGGAUCAGGUAGGGAUACCCGCUGAACUUAAGCAUAUCAAUAAGCGGAGGAAAAGAAACCAACAGGGAUUGCCUCAGUAACGGCGAGUGAAGCGGCAACAGCUCAAAUUUGAAAUCUGACGUCUUUGGCGUUCGAGUUGUAAUUUGUAGAGGAUGUUUCGGGUACCGCAACGACUUAAAUUUCUUGGAACAGAAUGUCAGAGAGGGUGAGAGUCCCGUCUGGAGUCGCGGUAGGGCCCAUGUGAAACUCCUUCGACGAGUCGAGUUGUUUGGGAAUGCAGCUCAAAAUGGGUGGUAAAUUUCAUCUAAAGCUAAAUAUUGGCCAGAGACCGAUAGCGCACAAGUAGAGUGAUCGAAAGAUGAAAAGCACUUUGAAAAGAGAGUUAAACAGUAUGUGAAAUUGUUGAAAGGGAAGCGCUGGCAACCAGACUUGUCUGUGGUGGUUCCCCCCGGCUUCUGCCUGGGUUACUCCAUCGUUUACAGGCCAACAUCGGUUUCGGGGGUCGGUUAAAGGCCCUGGGAAUGUAUCUUCUCUCCGGGGAGGACUUAUAGCCCAGGGUGUCAUGCGACC